rnacentral:rRNA from 1 species
ACGUCUAAGCAGUAAGGCUGAGUAUUAGGCAAAUCCGGUACUCAUUAAGGCUGAGCUGUGAUGGGGAGAAGACAUUGUGUCUUCGAGUCGUUGAUUUCACACUGCCGAGAAAAGCCUCUAGAUAGAAAAUAGGUGCCCGUACCGCAAACCGACACAGGUAGUCAAGAUGAGAAUUCUAAGGUGAGCGAGCGAACUCUCGUUAAGGAACUCGGCAAAAUGACCCCGUAACUUCGGGAGAAGGGGUGCUCUUUAGGGUUAACGCCCAGAAGAGCCGCAGUGAAUAGGCCCAAGCGACUGUUUAUCAAAAACACAGGUCUCUGCUAAACCGUAAGGUGAUGUAUAGGGGCUGACGCCUGCCCGGUGCUGGAAGGUUAAGAGGAGUGGUUAGCUUCUGCGAAGCUACGAAUCGAAGCCCCAGUAAACGGCGGCCGUAACUAUAACGGUCCUAAGGUAGCGAAAUUCCUUGUCGGGUAAGUUCCGACCCGCACGAAAGGCGUAACGAUUUGGGCACUGUCUCAACGAGAGACUCGGUGAAAUCAUAGUACCUGUGAAGAUGCAGGUUACCCGCGACAGGACGGAAAGACCCCGUGGAGCUUUACUGUAGCCUGAUAUUGAAAUUCGGCACAGCUUGUACAGGAUAGGUAGGAGCCUUUGAAACGUGAGCG